GCCUCUGCAGCUGAUGACAGAGCUUUUUUCCCCAUCAGAUCGACCCUGUUGAUCUACCUGAACUUUUAGCCAGUUUCGUCUGAUGCAUUGGC